AUUGAACGCUGGCGGCAGGCUUAACACAUGCAAGUCGAGCGGGGGAAGGUAGCUUGCUACUGGACCUAGCGGCGGACGGGUGAGUAAUGCUUAGGAAUCUACCUAUUAGUGGGGGACAACAUCUCGAAAGGGAUGCUAAUACCGCAUACGUCCUACGGGAGAAAGCAGGGGAUCUUCGGACCUUGCGCUAAUAGAUGAGCCUAAGUCGGAUUAGCUAGUUGGUGGGGUAAAGGCCUACCAAGGCGACGAUCUGUAGCGGGUCUGAGAGGAUGAUCCGCCACACUGGGACUGAGACACGGCCCAGACUCCUACGGGAGGCAGCAGUGGGGAAUAUUGGACAAUGGGGGGAACCCUGAUCCAGCCAUGCCGCGUGUGUGAAGAAGGCCUUAUGGUUGUAAAGCACUUUAAGCGAGGAGGAGGCUACUCUAGUUAAUACCUAGGGAUAAUGGACGUUACUCGCAGAAUAAGCACCGGCUAACUACGUGCCAGCAGCCGCCGUAA
rnacentral:rRNA from 1 species